rnacentral:rRNA from 1 species
AGGACGAACGCUGGCGGCGCGCUUAACACAUGCAAGUCGAGCGAGAACCGGACCUUCGGGUCCGGGGACAGCGGCGAACGGGUGAGUAACACGUGGGUAAUUUGCCCUCGGUUUCGGGAUAGCCCGGGGAAACCCGGAUUAAUACCGGAUAGCCUCUAGAGCUCUCGGGCUCGAGAGGAAAGGUAGCUUCGGCCUCCGACCGAGGAGAAGCCCGCGGCGGAUUAGCUUGUUGGUGGGGUAAUGGCCCACCAAGGCGACGAUCCGUAGCUGGUCUGAGAGGACGAUCAGCCACACUGGGACUGAGACACGGCCCAGACUCCUACGGGAGGCAGCAGUGGGGAAUCUUGCGCAAUGGGCGAAAGCCUGACGCAGCGACGCCGCGUGAGGGAAGAAGGCCUUCGGGUUGUAAACCGUCUUUCAGCAGGGACGAAGCCACUCAGGUUAAUAGCCGAGAGGUGACGGUACCUGCAGAAGAAGCCCCGGACUAACUACGUGCCAGCAGCCG